rnacentral:rRNA from 1 species
AGAGUUUGAUCCUGGCUCAGAAUCAACGCUGGCGGCGUGCUAACACAUGCAAGUCGAACGAGAAAGUGGGGCUUGCUCCACGAGUAAAGUGGCAAACGGGUGAGUAACACGUGAACAACCUGCCCUCGAGUGGGGAAUAACACCGCGAAAGCGGUGCUAAUACCGCAUAAUAUCCCGGGAUCGCAUGGUCCUGGGAUCAAAGGCGCAAGUCGCUUGAGGAGGGGUUCACGGCUGAUUAGCUUGUUGGUGAGGUAACGGCUCACCAAGGCGACGAUCAGUAGCCGGCCUGAGAGGGCGAACGGCCACACUGGAACUGAGACACGGUCCAGACUCCUACGGGAGGCAGCAGUGGGGAAUUUUGCGCAAUGGGCGGAAGCCUGACGCAGCAACGCCGCGUGGAGGAUGAAGGCCUUCGGGUCGUAAACUCCUGUCAGUGGGGACGAAUGCCUCGCAAGAGGUUUGACUGUACCCGUUGAGGAAGCCACGGCUAACUCCGUGCCAGCAGCCGCGGUAAUACGGAGGUGGCAAGCGUUGUUCGGAAUUACUGGGCGUAAAGGGCGCGUAGGCGGCUAGGCAAGUCAGGUGUGAAAGCCCCGGGCUUAACUCGGGAAUUGCACCUGAAACUGCCUUGCUUGAGUCCUGGAGGGGGUAGCGGAAUUCCCAGUGUAGCGGUGAAAUGCGUAGAUAUUGGGAGGAACACCUGCGGCGAAGGCGGCUACCUGGACAGUGACUGACGCUGAGGCGCGAAAGCUAGGGUAGCGAACGGGAUUAGAUACCCCGGUAGUCCUAGCCGUAAACGAUGGGCACUUGGUGUUGGGGGUAUUGAGUCCCUCAGUGCCGGAGUUAACGCAUUAAGUGCCCCGCCUGGGGAGUACGGUCGCAAGACUGAAACUCAAAGGAAUUGACGG